CUUGUCAGCAAAGCUUUAAUUAUUAGGUUUUUACAGUGCUCCGUCGACCAAAAGAAAAUAACGCAACAAGCGUCGAGCCAAUGUAUGCUCGUUCCAAUCUCGAGCUAUUGCUAAUUGGAAAGCCGAAAUACGUUCACGAGUUCGGGCGACUAAAGUUGCGAUGGCACCGAGAAGACACGAGAAGAAUCUGAAGAGGGCGACAAGACAUCAAUUAUUGUGAUCAUAUUGUCAAGACUACGAGUAACACAUUUCAACUGGCGGGAGUUUAUAGUAUCGUUUACAGAUGGCGAGAAGGUGUUAGUGUUAUCGGGUGCACACUGGUUUAAAAAAAGAACAAAAAACCCUGCAAUGAUGCAACGGAGGGAAUUGCUUCUCUGCACAGUUGGCGAGGCAAAAUUAUGCACUUCACGUAACGUUUCUCACCGAUGCCUUCGUGAAUGUGUUUUUUUUUCCCCUCUUACUGUGACCUAAAAAUAGAACGAGAGUUUUGAUCGUGCGCCAGAAAUAGACGGAAAUCACUCGUAUAUAAAGGGAGCCAACGUGGACUCUUAAUAACAAACGGAGGACUUCUUUGAUGCAUUCUUCCCCGAUUCAACUUACUACUGUCGUUCAUGAAUAAAACAUUGAGUAUCUCCUCUAUUUCUAUCUCUCUUCUCAUUUCAGAACGAAGACCUUCCUCCACUUUGGACUAAAAUGGAGCCACUUAAUGGGACCUUCUUCAGACUGAACGGUCACGUCAUCAUAGAUGCUUCCAGAUUGUCUACAAAAAGAAGCGAAGUCCGUUUUGAUUGUAAAGGAGGAGCAAUGGAGCUAUAGGGGCUUAACCUCCCUCCCUAUCGUCCUGAAACACGGUCGUCCAAAGAGGUCCAAGCCUGGGUUCAAGUAAGCGGAGGAAGACUUCAUCAGGGGCCAAGGCACACGGGGCAGGAGCCUGCUUAGCUUGAAGAGCAGAGGACCGAUCUGGCAAAAAAUACCCUCCUGUUCAAACACCAGACUCUGUGUCUGUCAGCAAAGCCCUCAAAAGAAACAGCUGUUGACUGGGAGACUCACGCAAGACCUCACUGUGUGGACAAGGGAUGCAAACGUUCAGAAAUAGUAUAUAUUUUUACGCGCCACGCAACUCUAUUUUGUGCUGUUUUUUGGGUGGUAAGGACAUCCUGGUUAUACAUGGCUUCGUAUGUCAAAUAUUUGUUGAUGAUGGAUUUUAUAAAUAUACUUGAGAUAAA